GGCCUCCAAUAAUUUCAUUAAUGUCCAAGAAAUCUUCCUUGAUUGUGACCGAGACUCCAUAAUAUACCUUGGGAAGCUUGAUGGACCUACCUGCCACACAGGGUCAGAGAUGUGCCAUUAAACCCCAGUGCUUGAUUUGUUGGAACAUCGACAG